ensembl:lncRNA
UGGCACAAAUGUUAGUGAGCUGGAAAAUUCCAUUUCCAGCUUUUGUAGUCCACAGCUGGAAAGUGAAUUUUGAAUUUUUCCAACCUUUUGUGCAUUUUACGUGUCAGAAGAAAAGUGUUCAGGCUGAAUGAACAGAUCUGAAUGUGUGGAGCUGAUGCACGUGAAUAUAAUAUAAUAUUAUAUUUAUAUUAUAUUAUGUCAACAUAUAUGACUCAAACAAUCCAGGUCCGUUGUUCUGAGUCCAGCUCCACGUUUUCCUCCUCACAGACAAACUUCAGGUCACGUGACCUCGAACCACGAAACAAGGUAAAUCUCAGCCGAAGCGUCGUGCACCUGAUGAGGAGGAGGAGGAAGAGGAGGAGGAAGGAAGAAGGAGGAGGAGGAGGAAGAGGAGGAGGAGGAGGAGGAGGAGGAGGAGGAGGAGGAGGAGGAGGAGGAGGAAGAAGAGGAGGAGGAGGAGGAGGAGGAGGAGGAGGAGGAGGAGGAGGAGGAAGAGGAGGAGGAGGAAGAGGAGGAGGAGGAGGAGGAGGAGGAGGAGGAGGAGGAGGAGGAGGAGGAGGAGGAGGAGGAGGAGGAGGAGGAGGAGGAGGAGGAGGAGGAAGGAGGAGGAGGAGGAAGAGGAGGAGGAGUUUACUUCACCUUCCUCCAUCACACCGUCGCUCUCUCAGGUGUUUUCGCUCCGUUUCCCCGCAGGGUCCCGAGGAGCUGAAAGUGGGCGGAGUCACGAGCAGACCCUGGUGCGAGGAUCGUGGGUGGAGACGGCGAGACUCGGGCGGCAGGAGCCUCCUUCACGGCCGCCCCGGGUCUCAAUGAGAGUGUCAGGGCUGAAGAAUGCCUCGCCCGCCUCCUCCCUCCUGCUCCGCUCGCCGGGAUUCAGCCCGCGUCCAGCCGUCUGACAGCUUCCCCGCCGACAUGGCCCGGCGACUGAAGGGACCACACACGCUCCGUGUUCGCCAUGCCGGGCUGAUUCUUCUCCUUGGCUUUUGGGUUGAGGGUGAGACUAUUUGCAGCCACAGGUCUUUUCUCUCUCCGGCAGCUUUUUACCCUCGAGGACUUCCAAACAAAUUUCAAGCGUGAGUGUGGAAGCUGUCGAGUGUUUGUCGGACAAUGGCAGUGCCCCGGUUUUUGGGGUCUCGCGGAUUGGAAGCUGCGCAACACUCGUAUCUGUCUGCGAGGCCGCAGCGCAGUAAGUGCUCACAUUGUCCACAGGUUAGUUUGUGACGUGUGAUAUUUCAUCAAGCUGCUCCUCCAGAACUGCAAAUAAUGUUCUGCCAUUGACUUCCAAUGAACAUAUUGACAGUGAGCUCACGAGAUGAAAAUAAUUCUCAUAAAUAGGCCUUUUUCUCAUCAAGAUCCACGAGUGUUAAAUGUUAAAAUAGAUUUAAUGGAUAACGGGUUCUUUCUUGGUCCAUGUUCCAUCCUUCCGCCAAGUUUACUGGAAAUCUGCAGACAAACAAACAGACGGAGUGAAAACUUCACCUGAGGCCGACACCACGGUGAGAAUGAGGUCGUACAUCGGUUCACCGCUUGCACAUGCGUAUCAUCACGCCCCCCCAUGAAUUACAACGAGGACGUAACUCGACGUAAUCUCAUGUAUUUGUUUAUGUAUGUAUAUUUCAUAACGUAUCAAAAUGAAGAAUAUAUUCGGUUUUAAAAAUAAACAAUCGCUUCAUCUUUAUGGCCUCAACGUAUGUACUGUACCGCUCUUUUUUCUAUUUUCCGCCACCGUCAGAGGAAACGGAAUUAUGAAUCUCCUGAACAACCAAUCACGUUGCGACCUCUCAUCCCCAACCAGAGCUCCAUGACUCUGGUUGUGACUCUCCAUUCUGUUUGUGUUUUUAAUCAGGAA